GACGUAGGGUGCGAGCGUUGUCCGGAUUUAUUGGGCGUAAAGAGCUCGUAGGCGGUUUGUCGCGUCGUUCGUGAAAACUCACAGCUUAACUGUGAGCUUGCGGUCGAUACGGGCAGGCUAGAGUUCGGUAGGGGAGACUGGAAUUCCUGGUGUAGCGGUGAAAUGCGCAGAUAUCAGGAGGAACACCGGUGGCGAAGGCGGUUCUCUGGGAAUGUCCUGACGCUGAGGAGCGAAAGUGUGGGGAGCGAACAGG
rnacentral:rRNA from 1 species